AGCUAGCUGUUGCGGUAAUUUUCUGGGGCGAAUCAUCGCUGCGUUGGCGCCGGGCUCCUAUUUUUGGCGCAAGCAGUGGAGGUCAUGCACCGGCGAUCGCGGCUCAGGUUCCUGCUUGUGCUCUCCAAACUGGUAUGCAAGCAUGUUGCAAUCGAGAUCCCUAUUGCUCAAAUCAGACUCCAUCUGUCCACAACCGAGGUCCCUGCCAACGAAAUCGAGCUCCUAGCUGCCGGAAUCGAGGUCCCCAUCAACCGAAUCAACUCCCAGCUGCCAGAGUCGAGGUCCCCAUCAACCAAAUCAAGUUCCCUGCCACCAUAAUCGAGCUUCCCACCUCUGAGCUUGAGCUCGCUGCGGGCCAGAUCGAACUUCCAGCCGGAGCGUCGCGAUGGUACAUAUGUCAUAUGUGAGCUCCGGGGAGGUGAGGAACCCCGCGCCACAACUAACCACGGGCCGGCAACGCUGCGGCGACAAAGUUCGACGGCUUGACCGCGAUGGCCGGGGACGGGGAAGAGGAACGCUACCGAGGUGGAAGCCGUGCUAACGUGCCACGCCGCCGGAUCAUGGAGGGGAGGGGAGCGCCGGCGAGGUACUUCGAGCGUCGCGGCGGCGGCCGAUUGGGAAGGGGAACGGCGGUUAUCGGCGACGGCGACGGCGACGAGUUUGCACGAGUCGCGGCCAGAAGAGUCGCUAGCCACUGGGCUGAUAUGGGCCGGUAAUAAGCCCGUGAGAUUGAAGUUUGUCUAAGUCACGGUUGGAUACGAAUUCAAGAGCUCAGAUGCGUGACUGCAGAGACAAGUUGUUUUCGCCGAUUUCAGACUUCAGAGGAUCUGAUUCCGGAUUAAAAGGCCUCUCGUUUGGCCUCGUCCCCGCAAUCCAUCCACGGGAAAAAUGGAACACGAGUCCAUCACCCACGAGCUCCGGCUGUUUUGCAACAACACCCUCUAUUUUGUUAAUAAUAACAACUAAUCCAGCAUGUCCAUAACAAAUAGUAACCGCGUUCUUAUAUUUUUUUUAUAUAUGCCCUCGUGUUAAAAUUUAAUUCAACUUAGAAGGGAAAAUUCGAUUGUGCUGUUAUUUAUAAAAAAACCCUCGAGGCACUUUUUUGAAAGAUUUUUUUUAAAGACUAGUGAAUGUCCGUGCAUUGCUACGGGUGAAAUUAGACCAUGCUAAUACAAUAAAGCGUGAUGACAUAUAAUAAAAUACAUAAGCUACUGAAAAGGAGGGAGCAUAUUAUUGAAUCCAAAAGACGUUGCUUAAAGCCCAAACAUGGAAGAGGCACCUAAGUACAUAUCUGCUCUGUCCGACACAUCAUAUAUGAUGCGUGUUUCUAUAUUUAGAAAAACCACAAGUCCUUAACUUUGUCCACUCAAGGAAAACCCUAAAAGAGAAUCCUAGUUAAAUUUAUUUCUCAACAUAUUUAAGCUCCACAAAAUUUGAUCCUCUGUUAUUUGCAUGCUGAUAAAGACCCAUGUUCCUGAAGAGUGAAAAUUCUCAACUUCUUAGCCUAGAUUUCAAGGUAAUAGCAUGAUCAGAAACAAUAAUACAGCUCCUCCAGUCCUUCUGGCCUAAUGUGCUAAACUUGAAAGACAUGGGAAAGCAUCGGCUAUAAUUCAUCAGAUGUAUAUAAACAUUAUACAAUUUUCAUCCAUUAGAAUUUAAUUAGGUGUCAUAUUAGAAUUAAGUCAUCAUGUAUCAAUUAACAGGAUCACAAACAUAAUCAAGCCAUCAUCGAUCAAACUGUAGAGGGCAAAAGAUAUUUAAUUGGGCAACGAAAUUACCUGGAAGCUUCCAUCACCAACGGAGGCAGUCACACGAAAUCACCAGGCAAUGCACCCAAUGACCACCAAUUUGAGUAUUGUAUUUGGAAUUCAUACCUGCAGCAUCAAGCAAUUCUUGUCAGAACAAGUCACAAAAAAUUCUUGUCAUGCUCCUUUAGCCUACCAUCGUCGAUAUUGGCCUAACCAGUCAUGAGCUGACAAGUUCAACAAGUUUUCUUAGAGCUUUUCUUUCAUCCUAUUUGAGCUCACUUUCAUCUAUGAUUAUUUUUUCACACUUCUUUGCUUCUUUUGUUUCUGUAAUAUUAUAGCUAUGCCAUCUAAGAGUUGUUCAUGAUGCAUCAUCAGCUCUUAAAAUUAUCUGUAGUAAGGAUGAUCCAUGAACUUUUGAUGCUACGUUAGCUUUGAUCAGAGGUCUCCAAAACCUUAUUAUCCCAAAAACACAAUUCAUCAGAAGAAAGAAGCGGAAGUGAGGAUGCAUAGAUGACAGAAAUUGCAGAUUCAAAAUUUUUGAUCAAACAAAGAUGAAAGACUUACGUUUUGGGAUAUCUCUUUCUCGAUGUUGUUCUUGCUUAAGUUCUCACAUAUAUUCUCCACACUUAAACUAACAUAUAUCAAACAUUUGAUGGAUAGUAAAAAUAAGAAGGGCAACAUUGAGGCUCUAUAGAAUGACCAUACCUGAUCGAUUCUUGCUCACAUUCUGAUUCUUGCAACACACGGCAGGGUUCGUGCUCAAAUUCUGAUUGAUUCUUUCAAUGUAAUUUCAUUAUCCUUUUGAAACCUAAUGGCUUUUCUAUGUGGCAUUGCCAUCUUGAAAUAAUUGUUUGGAGGAUUAUGCAGAGAAAUAAGAUCACCUGAAUAUAGUUUUCAACUAUUAUGGAAGCUAUGAUACUGAACUACGUAAGUGCUAAUCUAACUGUAUGUUCUUUUACUAUGAUAUUCCUACUGACUAAAUGCUACAAAGAUACUAUGAGCAGGAUUUGCAAUUCGAAUAGUCUAACAAAACAAAUGAAAAUGCUCAAUUGAAUUCCAAUAUGACGAAACUCAGUUUGAGGUUAGUUUCCAAUGCUCAAAUGAACUCGAAUAGCCUGACAUACCAAAGCUUUGCAGAAGAUAAGGCACGAUGCAAUUAUGUUCCUGCUAUUUUUUACUGAACACCUGAAUUAUCAUAUUAGUACACACAAACAUGAAAUGCUGCAUAAGAAUUAAUAUAUGAAGGAUUAAACAAACCUGAGUAUCAACUGCUUUAUACUGUUCGGGCUUUUUCCUACCAUUUUCUCUAUGACAAGGUUUCUGCUUGCAGCCAGCAAAAUACAAGAAAUGAAAUAAAAGUUAAGACACACUAUGUAGGCACACUAUUGUUUGUUUAGUAUGAUUUAACUACAUACACACAUCCUCCUCAUGCUGGAAUAUUGAACUAAAACCUGCAGGAUGCAUGGACCUUGACAGACACAGAUAUAACUUUCAGUCAUGAGGAAAUACACAGAUGUGCUGUGCUAAUGAUACGAUAAACAGGUGUAGCGUUAUUGUAAUGGUCCUUACUUCCCAUGGUUCAAAUCCUACUACUAAUACUAAUAUUUCGAGCUGAACCAAGCCUCACUAAUACUCGGUUCCAUUAAUUCACUCCCUAAUAGGCAAGUAAAUGAGAAUCUGAAUUUGCUAGCUUAGUACUGCUAUCCAAAACUUCGCCACACAAUGAAAAAAAGUGGUGCAGCACAGAAGCUAAAAGUAUAUAGCAAUCAUAAGUGGUUGCCACAUCCAUUGUAUCAAGGAUACCAUGAUUUCAUUUGUGAGAGUGAACUCUGUUGUGGUCAGCAUUGAGUUGAUGACCUUUGUUACCACCGAAGCAGCACCAGCUGGAGAGAUUCCCUGUGUUCCUAUCGAAAUCGAAUUGCAGCCCAAUCCAAUCUCUAGCAGUAGCAACUCUCAAAUCUUCUCAGCUCCUCAUGCCGCUUCUCUUUCCCCACCGCGCAGGUUCAAUAUCAGCAGAGCAAGCCCGCAGCUUCUCUCCUCCAUCUCCCUCAAGUCAACAGCAACACCCUUUUUUCUUCCACUGCAAGUGCCUUUGCACCACAUCCAGCCACCUCCAAUGCACUAGCAUUCUCCCGUGUGCUCCCCAUUGUGGGCAUAAACUCUUACAUGGACGAUACCCUGAAUGUGUUCGAUGAAAUGGGCAGAAGCUACAGAAAAAAUAGAGAAGCAAGGAUGGUUGCAGGUUUGCAACAUGGUGGAAAUGGGUGCUUCAGGGCAAAGAGCAACAUGGUGGAAUUGUUGUGGGCUUUUUGAUGAAUUUUCUAGUUCAGAUAGAUAGAUAAAGGAUGGUAAAUUUCCAAUAGAAGUUGCUCCAUCCAGAGGAUGGGCGGUAUGCGUUGAGAUUCUUUUGCCUGUAACAAAACCUUUGGAGAAAUUUGCAAACCUGAGCAUUCCUCAAAUGCUUAAACAAGAAGCAAACGCAAGCCAACACAAAGCACCUAUGGCUGUUGCUGAUGGCGAUGUUGCAUACUAGGAGAAGAAAUAUGCUCAUGCACUGAGGUGCUAUUGUUCCUUAAUUUGGCUAAAUUGACAUUGAUUUACUUUGCUGCCGCCUGCUGGUUGGUACUAAGGGCCCGUUUGGUGGUGCGGCUCCAGCUCCGGCUCCGCUGGCAGCUCCUGCGGGAGCCGCACCAAAUUGGGUGCUCCAUCGGCAGCUCCUCCUGCAUCAAAUUGGGAGAGCCGGAGCCCUUUUUGGGGUGCUCCGGUGCUGCUCCAGCUCCGGCAGCUCCGGCCGCUGGAGGAGCCCUCCCAAACGGGACCUAAAAUGUUUAUGAGAUUUAAGCAUUGAACACGAAAUUGUUGUGUGCCUAGAUGAUAGGAGCAAGAUCAAUGAAGGAGAAUAUGGAGGUUCUCCAAAACCUGAAACUGGUGUCUACGGAAAAUGAAAAUAGCAACAAGGGCUAUUCAGUCCUCUUUUGUAUUGGAUAGUAUCUGAAUCAAUUGAAGCUUCAAGUGCAGUGGUACACAAAGGAGCAGAUCCAAAAAUGAAAAAAAAUUCUCGAGCUGAACUUUAUUAGACCCCAAUUCACCAGGUCUCUUUGAUCAUCUUUUGGUAAAUGAUGACGUUGAAACUUGCUGUGAAAAAUUUGAAGAAGUUGCUUUCUCCAGAUGACUAUUAGGAAGAUUCAAAUGAUCUUUGUAAGUUUAUGAACUUUGCUGCUUGCACUUUCUACUGAUGCUGCUGUGUAUAUUGUUUGAUAGCAAAUCAGUUAUCAAGGAUGGCAAAGCAAACUGCAAGUUACUCUAUCGUGUCCAAAAAUGACUCAGAAAUUUUGUUGCAAUUGAGGGCCCAUUUGGUGGAGCUCCGGCUCCGGCUUCUCCCCGCUUCUCCCCGCGCCACAUCAUCCUCGGAGCUGGAGCUCCACCAAACAGCUGAGGUAGUGGAGCGGCUUCUGCUGGGAUGGUAGAGGAGCUGUUUUUUGCCGUGCAUGCUGGAGCCACAAAUACAGCUAUAUGGCUCCGGCUCCGCACAAGGAGCCCUCCCAAACGAGGCCUGAGAGACAUGAAGCAAAAACUGGAGCUACAAGCUUGUUAGAUGAUGAGGUGGUCCUUACACUUGUUUUCUGUAUCUGAAAUUCUCCACAUGCCAGAACUUUAUUUGUCGGCUUUUCAAAAAAGAACUUGAUUUGUCAGCUUUUCAAAAAAUAACUUGAUUUGUCAUCUCUCUCUGGAGGUGCUCCUGGAUGAACAAGGGGCCUUAAGAUAAACUCAAUUAACUCCUUUUGAUAAUAGCUUAUAUGGGUGAUUUAGAUGACCCAAAGCAUUCUUCCAAGACUGCAGAACUGCUGACAUGAGUUUUGGAUCAAUUGCAUGAAUGAAAGCUUCAGUAAUACCAUAGUUAUGACAAAAAGGAUAUGGAAUUUAUUUUGAUUUGUUAUUCGUUUAUGCUCGAAUGAAGUGAAAUCUUAGCGAGGGAUUGUACCUUCUUUUUGAGGUUUGGUAUACUUUACAGCUGUACAGUUCGUCAAAUGAUGAUAACAAUAUAGGAGCCUAUUUAAUCAUCUUAUGAUAGUAAAGGGAGAAAAAUUUAUGUUGUUUUAAAUAUCAUUUGAUUAUACUGCUGGAUUUUAUUAUUGAAAUGGUAUGGGCUUAAAUAUCAUUUGAUUAUAUUGCUGAAUUUGAUUAUUGAAACGGUAGGGUGCGCACGCGGAAUAUUCUAGUCUACUAAUCUACCCAACCCAUAUGUCAGCUGCUACUCACGGUUUGGGUUGGGUUACCUGAACCAUGCACAGGCCUAACUUAAUGUCAAUCCUAGCGUGGGCAGCGUCGCUGCCUGCUGUCAAAAUCCUUGUAGAGACGCCCGGAAUACUCUGAAUGGCUCACACAUUUAUGCAAUGAUCAGUUUCUUUUUAACAUCAACUCAGGCAGCUCUGCGACUGCGAGUAAAUUUAGCACGAAGCAGUCACUGGGCACACCUGGGUAGCUCAAGACUGCAAAAAUAGAUGUAUAUAGUAGCAACGUGCAACAAGCGUGCUUUUAAUUGCAAUGCUGCCGAACCAUGUAAUGUUAAUUAUCACACUCUUGUUACCGGAAGUUCAAAACCUCCCUAGACAUCUAAUUAAUUAAAGGCACCUCCCUAGACAAAUAAGUAGCUCAAUGGCAAAUACCAGGGAUGCUACAACAGUUAAUUAGCUGUUCCAACAUGAAGAUAGCUAGAUAGCGAGCAAAUUGUCACAACCACAAGAAUAACAUUGAUGAUAGAUAGUGGUAAGAAAAUCUGUCACAACCACUGGGAACUACUCUCCUUGUGCAUGGAUAACAUAGCAUGCCAAUAAUUAAGGCUGUGAAGAUAACGCUGUGGAGAAGGAACACCAGGCACCAC